rnacentral:lncRNA from 1 species
UCACCAAACCUUGAGCCCGUCUUUAAACCAAUAUCCUACUCGAUCUCAGACCGACCUCUUUGGAGUUUAGUGGCAACCAAAUUAAUAAAAUAAAUAAAACAUAUAGAACUACUUGUCAUUCUAAACUCCUUGCAAGAUCUAGUGUCAAAAUAUGUAAUGAUUCCAUAUAUAGAAACAAGAUAUAUUUAUUAAUUAAAUAAGAUCAAAUGCUAUUAUCUUCUAAUAUAUUAAUUAUGU